rnacentral:lncRNA from 1 species
ACAAGAAAAGAACCUUUCCGUGGUCGAAUAGUAGAUACACUUUUUCAGUAAUAAGUUAGAGCCGUGGGGUAUAGGCAGUCUGAUUACAAGCGUACCCACUUAAUUGGUCAUCGGUUCCAAUGUCAACAUUGUAGCAUCAUAAUAUUAUGGUAUGCCAACUUACUCCUCUGGGGCACUGCAAAAGGGAAUCCAUCUCUAUUGCUGAAGGGUACUCGAAUAUGAGUAGGUGUCAGCACUAACCAUGAAGGCGGCAUCGACGCGGCGUAGACGAUGGCAGAGCCAGCACAGUCUCAUACACUAAAGCCGGCUGUGGCAUGUGUGUAUGUGGGGAGGCAUUUCGUCAUCGUGUGAGAUCCCAAAGCUCUUAAAAUAUCGGCCAAGUUCCCCCAGCCGAUGCUUACUAACCCACUUUUUGAGAGAGCGUAUUUCUCUCUCGCAACGUGUCUUUUUUUUUGUUGCUUCUCCCCCCCCUCCAACCAUCCACUAUCGCAUCAUUAUCGCGCUGUCGCUUUUAUCUGCCAGUUCUGCCUAUUUGCUUCCCAUUUUUGUUUUCCACGAUAGGAAUAAGUGGGAGGGAGGGAGGGAGCAGAGCCACAUGC